rnacentral:siRNA from 1 species
UAAGCCUAAAUCUAGUUAGAG